GAUGAACGCUGGCGGCGUGCCUAAUACAUGCAAGUCGAGCGGACGGACGCGAAGCUUGCUUCUCUGAUGUUAGCGGCGGACGGGUGAGUAACACGUGUAUAACCUACCUAUAAGACUGGGAUAACUUCGGGAAACCGUAUCUAAUACCGGAUAAUAUUUUGCACCGCAUGGUUCAAAAGUGAAAGACGGUCUUGCUGUCACUUAUCGAUGGAUCCGCGCUGCAUUAGCUAGUUGGUAAGGUAACGGCUUACCAAGGCAACGAUGCAUAGCCGACCUGAGAGGGUGAUAGGCCACACUGGAACUGAGACACGGUCCAGACGCCUACGGGAGGCAGCAGUAGGGAAUCUUCCGCAAUGGGCGAAAGCCUGACGGAGCAACGCCGCGUGAGUGAUGAAGGUCUUCGGAUCGUAAAACUCUGUUAUUAGGGAAGAACAGAUGUGUAAGUAACUGUGCACAGCGUGACGGUAACUAAUCAGAAAGCAACGGCUAACUACGUG
rnacentral:rRNA from 1 species